UAAACUUGUUAUCCUUCUCUCUUUCUUUUCCUCAGCACUGACAAAUCAUCUUUUUGAAAUCAGGUCUGCAUUGAAGCUAUGAGAGACCUCUUUAAACGAGCACGGUGGGAUAUUCAUGGGGUUCAAGUUCCAGGGGAAACGUGUGCCUUGAGUGUUUGAAAUUUCAGUUGUGCAUGAUUACUUCCAUUGAUGUUCUAAGUUAAACCAGUUCCUAAAAUCAUUGCCUCUCUAUCCUGCUCAAAUGGAAGAACAGCUUAACUUGACAUGGUGCAAACUAAGUUCAGAUUGUCCCAAGGAUUAAGGAAUUGGAGCACCAAAUUCCUGAUCUGAGGUGGCUGCUGUUUGUUUGCCUCUCGCAGAGGCUGGUAACUUUGCCCUAUAUUGAGAACAAACUACAUCUUGGAUAAGCCAUUUAGUCAAGCAUGCAUGGUUUCUAGGAAACAAGCCUUCUAUUAUCUGCUAGCUAUAUGAAGAACCUCCUGUCAGAUUUCGCAUUUUUGUGCUCUCUUGGUGUUUCCAUGAAAGCUUAAAGAAUGGAGCAACAAACA